rnacentral:rRNA from 1 species
GACGAACGCUGGCGGCGUGCUUAACACAUGCAAGUCGAACGAAGAGCGAUGGAAGCUUGCUUCUAUCAAUCUUAGUGGCGAACGGGUGAGUAACGCGUAAUCAACCUGCCCUUCAGAGGGGGACAACAGUUGGAAACGACUGCUAAUACCGCAUACGAUCUAAUCUCGGCAUCGAGGAUAGAUGAAAGGUGGCCUCUACAUGUAAGCUAUCACUGAAGGAGGGGAUUGCGUCUGAUUAGCUAGUUGGAGGGGUAACGGCCCACCAAGGCGAUGAUCAGCAGCCGGUCUGAGAGGAUGAACGGCCACAUUGGGAUGAGACACGGCCCAGACUCCUACGGGAGGCAGCAGUGGGGAAUCUUCCGCAAUGGACGAAAGUCUGACGGAGCAACGCCGCGUGAGAGAU